rnacentral:rRNA from 1 species
GACGUAGGAUGCAAGCGUUGUCCGGAAUUAUUGGGCGUAAAGAGUUCGUAGGCGGUUGCCUAAGUCUGAUGUUAAAUACUAGAGCUCAACUCUGGCAUGGCAUUGGAAACUGGGUAGCUAGAGUGCGGUAGAGGUCUCGGGGAAUUCCAGGUGUAGCGGUGAAAUGCGUAGAUAUCUGGAGGAACACCGGUGGCGAAAGCGCGAGACUGGGCCGUAACUGACGCUGAGGAACGAAAGCCAGGGGAGCGAAAGGGAGUUAGAAACCCUU